CUGAAGCUCAACUGAAGCUAGCCAGCUAGCGGUCUUCAGCUAACCUUCAGCCCGGAAAGCUCUCGUCAGUUCGAACAACGCGACUCUAACCAGAGCAUAACGGACCUAUUUAUUUUUUCAUCCCUGGAUUCUUCCCCGGAUUCCCACCGCAAAUGGAACAUUUUUCAGCUGGAUCUUCACAACUAGCUAGCUAGCUAUCUACGAACUGUUAGCUUGCUAGCACAGGCCUGCUAACCGUCUGCAUCGCCGCGUCCCAAACACCCAUAUUUACUUUCUAUUGCUUUUUGAUUUUUAAUUUGUUUAUACCUUCCGGAAACCUGCCUCAUCCAAUGUGAUACGGAAUCGCUAUUAUUUUUAUUUUUUCAGAACACACUCAAGAACCUCCAGAAGCUAACCAGCUAACUAACUAGCUACAAGCUAUUUAGUCAUUGUUAGUUUUUUAAAACCUGGAUAACACUCGCCAGUCCAGCUUCCCUGCCCCAUCCACCGCUGCCCCCUGGACACUGAUCUCUUGGCCACAUAGCUGAUGCACGCUGGACUGUCCAUUAAUCACGUUCCACUCAGCCCCGUUGUUUUCCUGCAGUCCACCAGCCUCACAGACACCCUCUUCAGACCCCACAUUAAGGCGCUACCGGGAGAGGCACGACCCGGGGACUCGGGGACAGGGGAGGGGUGUGGGAGAGAUGUGUUCUGAAAACCACAAAAAAAUAAAGACAAUCAAUUUAGGGGAAAACUCUCCUACCUGACAAGGAAUUUAACAUUCUCAAAAGUCUUCCCCUUGAGUCCUCUCAUUCUCUGAACCUCCUGCUGUAAUUGGAGGAGAAAGUCCAAGGGGAGGAACCUCCUGCUGUAAUUGGAGGAGAAAGUUCAAGGGGAGGAACCUCCUGCUGUAAUUGGAGGAGAAAGUCCAAGGGGAGGAACCUCCUGCUGUAAAUGGAGGAGGAAGUCCAAGGGGAGGAACCUCCUGCUGUAAUUGGAGGAGAAAGUCCAAGGGGAGGAACCUCCUGCUGUAAUUGGAGGAGAAAGUCCAAGGGGAGGAACCUCCUGCUGUAAUUGGAGGAGAAAGUCCAAGGGGAGGAACCUCCUGCUGUAAUUGGAGGAGAAAGUCCAAGGGGAGGAACCUCCUGCUGUAAUUGGAGGAGAAAGUCCAAGGGGAGGAACCUCCUGCUGUAAAUGGAGGAGAAAGUCCAAGGGGAGGAACCUCUAUUUACCAACUACAUUUACAUACAGUGAGCUCCAACAGUAAUGGGACAGUGACACAUGCUGCUGUUGUUGUUGUUUUGUCUUUGUACUCCGGCACUUUGGAUUUGAAAUGAUACAAUGACUAUGAGGUUAAAGUGCAUACUGUCAUGUCUAAUUUGAGGGUAUUUUUCAUCCAUAUCAGGUGAACCAUUUAGAAAGUACACCACUUUUUGUACAAUGUCCCCCUGAUUUUAGGGGACCAAAAGUAUUGGGACAAAUUCACCUUUAUGUGUAUUAAAGUAGUAAAAAGUGUCGUAUUUUGUCCCAUAUUCCUAGCACACAAUGAUUACAUCAAGCAUUUGACUCUACAAA